GACGACGCUGGCGGCGUGGAUUAGGCAUGCAAGUCGGAGGUAGGCUUUAUCGUAAGAUAGAGUUUGAGAGUGGCGAACGGGUGAGUAACACGUAGGAAUCUACCUUAAGACGGGGACAACCCGGGAAACUUGGGCUAAUACCGGAUGAGAGCAACUUUUAGUUGUUUGAAAGGUGGCGUAAGCUGUCGCUUGGGGAUGAGCCUGCGUCCUAUUAGUUAGUUGGUGAGGUAACGGCUCACCUAGGCAAUGAUAGGUAGGCGGCCUUAACGGGUGGUCGCCCACACUGGGAUUGAGAUACGGCCCAGACUCCUACGGGAGGCAGCAGUCGAGAAUAGUCUACAAUGGUCGGAAGACUGAUAGUGCGACGCCGCGUGAACGAUGAAUCCCUUCGGGGUGUAAAAGUUCUUUUAUAUGUGAGCAGUGCUUCUUAUAUUAACAGUAUGGGGAGAGAGAUAUUAGCAUAUGAAUAAGCAACGGCUAACUCCGUG
rnacentral:rRNA from 1 species